rnacentral:rRNA from 1 species
GCAUGGUGGGUGUUGGAAAGAUUUAUCGGUUUUGGAUGGACUCGCGGCCUAUCAGCUUGUUGGUGAGGUAAUGGCUCACCAAGGCGACGACGGGUAGCCGGCCUGAGAGGGUGACCGGCCACACUGGGACUGAGACACGGCCCACACUCCUACGGGAGGCAGCAGUGGAGGAAUAUUGCACAAUGGGCGCAAGCCUGAUGCAGCGACGCCGCGUGAGGGAUGACGGCCUUCGGGUUGUAAACCUCUUUCAGUAGGGAAGAAGCGAAAGUGACGGUACCUGCAGAAGAAGCACCGGCUAACUACGUGCCAGCAGCCGCGGUAAUACGUAGGGUGCGAGCGUUAUCCGGAAUUAUUGGGCGUAAAGAGCUCGUAGGCGGUUUGUCGCGUCUGUCGUGAAAGUCCGGGGCUUAACCCCGGAUCUGCGGUGGGUACGGGCAGACUAGAGUGCAGUAGGGGAGACUGGAAUUCCUGGUGUAGCGGUGGAAUGCGCAGAUUCAGGACGAACACCGAUGGCGAAGGCAGGUCUCUGGGCUGUACUGACGCUGAGGAGCGAAAGCAUGGGGAGCGAACAGGAUUACAUACCCUGGUAGUCCAUGCCGCUAACGUUGCGCACUAGGUGUGGGGACCAUUCCACGGUUUCCGCGCCGCAACUAACGCAUUACUGCCCCGCCUGGGGAGUCGGCCGCAGGCUAAACUCAAG